CCUUAACCCACUGCACCAGGCCAGGGGUGGAACCUGCGCCUCUCCAGCGACCUGAGGUCCACCCGUGUCGUUGCAAGCGUCCUGUCUCACAAGAAGGGACCAAGAGCCGACCGUGCUUCCCCACGGAUGAACCCGAGGACACGCGCACAACGAAGUCAGUCCCUGGGCGUCGUCCGGUUCCAUUUCCAGGAGGUCCCUUGAGCCGCCAAAUCCACAGAGAUGGAACGGAGAGGGCAGGUCUGGGGGCUGGGGAGCCCGUGCUUCGUGGGGACAGAGACGCAGCCUUCAGGGGAAGAGCCCUGGCGAGGACGGGGGUGACGCUUGUGUCACCUGAAAGAAAUCGAUGACGCUGAGCGACGCGGGCUGUCGGUUCAGCGGUUAAGAGGGCAGAGUUUAUGUUAUGUGCAUUUUACCCCCAAAUUGAAAAAAUCCUGAAUGUAACGUUUAUGCAAAUAAGAAACGUGAAACUCAAGCUAUUUCCCACGGCUCGAGCCCGGCGCACGCGCCCUCCUCUGUCCUUAACCCCGCGGCCAUCAGCAUUUUAAGCGGGGCGUCUGAUUAUUAUUUGGUCCUAUGUGUAAACAUACUUAAACUUCUUUAAACACUUUAAGCUGAAAUUACAACAAUUUAAAAAUUC